CCUGAGAUAAUCAUGCCCAUCUCCCUGUUUCCAGACUAAAUAGCCCCUUCCCACCUGGGCCUUUUUGGGUACAGGUGGUGAUUGGGGUGGGGGUGGAAGUUUUAUUUCUAUUUAAGGUGAAAAUGCCCUCUUUGCUCACCUCUUCAGAAACCACUCCACCCCGAGAGCUAUCUCCCUCUCCUACCCAGAAAAAUCCUCAAUCCUUUGCUUUCCCUUCAUCUGACUGGCAAAGCCUCCCCAAGGAUUCAAACAGGGCCAAAUCCAGUAAGCUAUCAACUUCAGAUCUACCUUGGUAUCAAGAUCUUCCUCUGCUUUGAGACUGGGAAUCUAUCCUUAGUAAUUAAUAUUGAGGAGAUGGUACUUCUCUGGAUAAGUUGUGACAUGUAGCUGGAGCUCUUAAGGACCAGAUUGCUGAAAACCUCAUUCCAAGGAUUCACAGAGCCCGCAAGUUGCACUGGCCAGAGGCAGCAAAGGAGAGGACCGAGAAGCACAUUUGGAUUCCAAGCCUUGUUGCCCAACAUGCCUCCAUUCUCCCUAAGGCCUUUCUAAGCAGCUGGUACUUAGGAGGAGCAGGAGGCCCUGUGGGGCGGAGGACUGGAAGAACACUCUUCCCCCAACCACGGUCUCUGGAUUCUAACAACUAACUCUUCCCAGAUGAAGAGGCAGUCGGGGCAGGUAGCAAACGUCCAGGACUGAAUGUCAUCUUUGAGUCCCAGUUCCGAAUGUACUGAUAUGCAUGUGACCUUCAUUAAGUCAUUUAACAUCUCUGAAUCUGCUUUCUGGCCUGAAAUAGGAAAGCCUUCCCUGGCUACCCUGCAGAAUUGUCUUAAGGUUGUGAGAGCACUUUGAAAAAGUAUAUGUGAUAGAGAAGUGUGUGUGUGUGAUGAUAUGUUUAUAAAAAGAUAUUAUGUCACAUGACAAAAUUUUAUAAAAGGAGAACAGAUUUGUGUUGCCAAGGGCUAGGGAAGGGAAAGGGGAUUGUGGGAGGGACAUAACGGAACAAUAUGAGGAAGGCCCUGUAGUGAUAAAACCAUCCUAUAUCCUGACCAUGGUGGCAGAUGCCUGAACCUACACAUGAUAAAGCUGUACAGAACUAAAUACACACAGUGAAAUGAGUAUAAAUAAAACUGGAGAAAUCUAAAUAAGAUCAAUGAAUUAUGCCAAUGCCAACAUCCUGGCAAUAGGGACAAGGAGAUUUGGAGACUGGGGUUGAUAAAGUGCUGUUGGCAACUUGUGA